GAAAAACGGAAACUCAAAACAGCGGAAGACAUACUCAGAAUGAAGUGGAGCAAAGUACUCAAGACCGCAGACAAAUAUGGCAAUGGCCAUCAAACAAAGAGCUACCCGAAGCGCAAGUUGCUGCCAGAAUUUGACGAGGAAGCCAUAGAGCCCUCACAAUCAAAAAAUAAAGAGGCCGCCUGGCCGGAUAGACGGCCAGAUGACAGGCCAAAAGCGACAAGCGGCACCGCACACAAGCCGACUUAUGAUCCUGGGAAAAUGGACGACCCAACUAGGUCCAUCUACGGGCCAAAAAAGAGGGCCCCAGGAAGUAACACAACACGACAAAUGUCCGAAGACAGCGGCACACCCAAAUACAGGGGCGCCGCACACCCGCUAUGUUUUACCGAUGAGGUGCUGGAUCAUGAAUUUCCAGCAGGGUUCAAACCCAUAAACAUAGAGGCAUACGAC
rnacentral:rRNA from 1 species